AACGAACGCUGGCGGCAGGCCUAACACAUGCAAGUCGAGCGCCCUUUCGGGGGAGCGGCGGACGGGUGAGUAACGCGUGGGAAUAUGCCCUUCUCUACGGAAUAGCCUCGGGAAACUGAGAGUAAUACCGUAUACGCCCUGUGGGGGAAAGAUUUAUCGGGGAAGGAUUAGCCCGCGUUGGAUUAGGUAGUUGGUGGGGUAAUGGCCUACCAAGCCGACGAUCCAUAGCUGGUUUGAGAGGAUGAUCAGCCACACUGGGACUGAGGCACGGCCCAGACUCCUACGGGAGGCAGCAGUGGGGAAUCUUAGACAAUGGGGGCAACCCUGAUCUAGCCAUGCCGCGUGAGUGAUGAAGGCCUUAGGGUUGUAAAGCUCUUUCAGCUGGGAAGAUAAUGACGGUACCAGCAGAAGAAGCCCCGGCUAACUCCGUG
rnacentral:rRNA from 1 species